UCUGGUUGAUCCUGCCAGAGGUUACUGCUAUCGAGGUUCGACUAAGCCAUGCGAGUCGAAUGUAGCAAUACAUGGCGUACUGCUCAGUAACACGUGGACAACCUACCCUUGGGACGGGGAUAAACCCGGGAAACUGGGUAUAAUACCCGAUAGAUCUCGGACGCUGGAAUGCAUCGAGAUCGAAAGCUCCGGUGCCCAAGGAUGGGUCUGCGGCCUAUCAGGUAGUAGUGGGUGUAGCGUACCUACUAGCCUACGACGGGUAUGGGUUGUGAGAGCAAGAGCCCGGAGAUGGAUUCUGAGACACGAAUCCAGGCCCUACGGGGUGCAGCAGGCGCGAAAACUUUACAAUGCCGGCAACGGCGAUAAGGGGACCUCGAGUGCCAGGUUACAAAUCUGGCUGUCGUAAUGCCUAAAAAGCAUUUCAUAGCAAGGGCCGGGCAAGACCGGUGCCAGCCGCCGCGGUAACACCGGCGGCUCGAGUGGUAACCGUUAUUAUUGGGUCUAAAGGGUCUGUAGCCGGCCGGAUAAGUCUCUUGAGAAAUCUGGCAGCUUAACUGUCAGGCUAUCAGGGGAUACUGUCUGGCUCGAGGCCGGGAGAGGUGAGAGGUACUUCAGGGGUAGGGGUGAGAUCUUGUAAUCCUUGAAGGACCACCAGUGGCGAAGGCGUCUCACCAGAACGGACCUGACGGCAAGGGACGAAAGCUAGGGGCACGAACCGGAUUAGAUACCCGGGUAGUCCUAGCCGUAAACGAUACUCGCUAGGUGUCGGCCACGGUGCGACCGUGGUCGGUGCCGUAGGGAAGCCGUGAAGCGAGCCACCUGGGAAGUACGGCCGCAAGGCUGAAACUUAAAGGAAUUGGCGGGGGAGCA
rnacentral:rRNA from 1 species